UACAAGGGUUUCUGCUGUGAAUAGCACAUGGACGAGGCGUUUGCACUUUAUCUGUGCAGAAUCGAUAUCAAGAGAUUUCAGAAAUACAAUUUUUGUUUCUUGGAGCUGCUGGUGGAUCGUUUGUCUCGGCGAUCCG